AGAGUUUGAUCCUGGCUCAGAGUGAACGCUGGCGGCAGGCCUAACACAUGCAAGUCGAACGGCAGCGGGUAGGAAGCUUGCUUCCUAUGCCGGCGAGUGGCGGACGGGUGAGGAACACAUCGGAAUCUACUCCGUCGUGGGGGAUAACGUAGGGAAACUUACGCUAAUACCGCAUACGACCUAAGGGUGAAAGUGGGGGACCGCAAGGCCUCACGCGAUGGAAUGAGCCGAUGUCCGAUUAGCUAGUUGGCGGGGUAAAGGCCCACCAAGGCGACGAUCGGUAGCUGGUCUGAGAGGAUGAUCAGCCACACUGGGACUGAGACACGGCCCAGACUCCUACGGGAGGCAGCAGUGGGGAAUAUUGGACAAUGGGCGAAAGCCUGAUCCAGCCAUGCCGCGUGGGUGAAGAAGGCCUUCGGGUUGUAAAGCCCUUUUGUUGGGGAAGAAAUCCUGCUGGCUAAUACCCGGCGGGGAUGACGGUACCCAAAGAAUAAGCACCGGCUAACUUCGUG
rnacentral:rRNA from 1 species